AUUGAACGCUGGCGGCAGGCCUAACACAUGCAAGUCGAGCGAGCGGCGGACGGGUGAGUAAUGUAUGGGGACUGCCCGGUAGAGGGGGUUAACUACUGGCAACGGUGGCUAAUACCGCAUACUAUCGGAAAACCCAUAUGGGAUUAGCUAGUCGGUGGGGUAAAGGCUCACCUAGGCGACGAUCUCUAGCUGGUCUGAGAGGAGGAUCAGCCACACCGGGACUGAGACAUGGCCCAGACCCCUACGGAGGCAGCAGUGGGGAAUAGUGCACAAUGGGCGCAAGCCUGAUGCAGCCAUGCCGCGUGUAUGAAGAAGGCCUUAGGGUUGUAAAGUACUUUCAGCGGGUAGGCGUUACCCGCAGAAGAAGCACCGGCUAACUCCGUGCCAGCAGCCGCGGUAAUUC
rnacentral:rRNA from 1 species